AAGACAGUGAAAGAGAAAAAGAAAAAGCCCUUUCUCUUCUUCAAUUCUUUCUUUUGUAGUGUUUUUUUUUUUUCCAGU
rnacentral:ribozyme from 1 species